GACGAACGCUGGCGGCGUGCUUAACACAUGCAAGUCGAACGGAAAGGCCCGGCCUUGGGGGGGAGGGGGAGGGGCGAACGGGGGAGUAACACGUGAGUAAGCAGCCCCUGACCGUGGGAUAACCUAAGGAAACUGGGGCUAAUACGGGAAAGGAGCUCCCGCCGCAGGGUGGGGGCGGGAAAGUUUCGGCGGUUGGGGAUGGACUCGCGGCUUAUCAGCUUGAUGGUGGGGUAGUGGCUUACCAAGGCCUUGCAGGGUAGCCGGCCUGAGAGGGUGACCGGCCACAUUGCGACUGGUAUGCGGCCCAGCCUCCUACGGUAGGCAGCGCUGCGGUAUAUUGCACUAUGGGCGGGGCCCUGAUCCAGCAACGCCGCGUGCGGUGUGUCGUCCUUCGCUUUGUAUUCCGCUUUCGCCUUUGCCGGGACGUUAGUGACAGUACUGGGUGAAGAAGCUCCGGCUAACUACGUG
rnacentral:rRNA from 1 species